UGAUCUUUAUGCAUCGCAAAAAGAAAAAGAAAUGAAUGGAAAAGAAAUUAACUGGCUGCGGAUUUGCGUUACUCUAUGGGUCAAGAAGUUUUGGAGGCCUUCUUAGGUCCGGCUGCCCUUGUUCUGCGGCUGUGGGUCGCUUAUCAUUUUCACUGUUUGAUAUUUUUUAAGAGUUGGCCACGACUUUGGUUGCUGAGAAAGUCUGAAUAAUAAAAAUUUCUAUUAUGGAAAAUGGAAGGAAAAAAACUAUUGUUUAGUUGCAGUAGAAAGGUCAAGAAAAAAGUUGAAAAUUUUUUCUUGUUUGAUAGAAU
rnacentral:lncRNA from 1 species